rnacentral:rRNA from 1 species
CAUGCAGUCGAGCGCACCUUCGGGUGAGCGGCGGACGGGUUAGUAACGCGUGGGAACAUACCCUUUUCUACGGAAUAGCCUCGGGAAACUGAGAGUAAUACCGUAUACGCCCUUUUGGGGAAAGAUUUAUCGGUGAAGGAUUGGCCCGCGUUAGAUUAGAUAGUUGGUGGGGUAACGGCCUACCAAGUCGACGAUCUAUAGCUGGUUUGAGAGGAUGAUCAGCAACACUGGGACUGAGACACGGCCCAGACUCCUACGGGAGGCAGCAGUGGGGAAUCUUAGACAAUGGGCGCAAGCCUGAUCUAGCGAUGCCGCGUGAGUGACGAAGGUCUUAGGAUCGUAAAGCUCUUUCGCCAGGGAUGAUAAUGACAGUACCUGGUAAAGAAACCCCGGCUAACUCCGUGCCAGCAGCCGCGGUAAUACGGAGGGGGUUAGCGUUGUUCGGAAUUACUGGGCGUAAAGCGCACGUAGGCGGACUAUUAAGUCAGAGGUGAAAUCCCGGGGCUCAACCCCGGAACUGCCUUUGAUACUGGUAGUCUUGAGUUCGAGAGAGGUGAGUGGAAUUCCGAGUAUAGAGGUGAAAUUCGUAGAUAUUCGGAGGAACACCAGUGGCGAAGGCGGCUCACUGGCUCGAUACUGACGCUGAGGUGCGAAAGUGUGGGGGAGCAAACAGGAUUAGAUA